AUAUACACUCGUGCAAAUCACAGGCAGUCUGGUGCUAGCUAUGCUAUAAAAAUACUUGUAUUGUACCCGUAAGAAUAGUUUUAGGGAGUGUAUGGAAAACUAAUAUUUAUUUAAUCCUGCGUUACAGCACUACAGAACACAAGAUAGGACUCGCUAUAUUAAGUUUGAAAAUGGAAGUCGUUGUUGUGAAGUUAGAAGACGACGAGGAGGAGAGACCGUGCACCCAAAUUAGUCCUGAAAAGGAGGGAGACGAACAGUUUUUAGCUAACACUAUUCGGUCUAUUAAAACACAGACUCAAGACAACACAUGUUUGGAAUCAAAUACCUCCGAAAAUGUCAAGAUUGAACAUGAUGUCGAAUUAGGAAACAUCGGAGAUAAUAAAGCCAUAUGGAGGAGACGUUCAACUCUGGUGAAUGAAAUAUUCUCAAAGGUGACGAGCAGAAAACGAAAAUUAGAAGAAAACAUGAGAUGCAAGAAAAUAGGAUUAGAUGUGGAUGUGGGGUCAGGACCAAAGCCGAAACUGGAUUUGCAGUUACUUACGAACGGUGUAAUGAAAGAAAUUGCAGAGUUUGCCAAAGAACUGUCGACUCAUUCUCAAAAACACUACAUCGCUGAAAUUCUGGAGUACAAUUUUCAUAUUGGCUUUGAAAACAGUAAACAAAGACGUGAAUUUGCACAUCAAACUUGGCAGAGAGUGGUCGAAAUGCAGAAACGUCUAAAACAGUAUCCUGACGAUUUAUCUAUGUUAAAUGAACCAUGGAUGCUCAGUAUACAUCCAUAUUACAUGUUUCCAAAGACUUCCAGUCAGACAGACCCUAUUAGAGAUUCUGGAAUCAAGUCAGAGCAUCUGGGAUAUGCUGAAAUCUGUGUUAAAAGUGAGUCUGACAUGACAGCCAACCAAGACAUCAAGGUAGAGGCAUUCUAUACUGUGCCAGAAGAGACCAAGGCAGACCUCUACCCCCUGUGUCAGGAAAUUGGUCUGGACCUUGAUGUGACGUAUAAAGGUUGGUCUAAAGAGAAACUUGACAAGGAUGUUUUGACCAAAGGGGUUAUGAUUGAAGUGGCUAAGUAUACCAAAGAACUUUGUGGGACAUACAGACAGAUUGUCUUUGAUAUCUUAGAACACAAUUUUGAUCUUGAUUUACAAGCUGUGGACUCAGAGCUCUUUCGAUCAAUUAUCUUCAGCAUUAGUUUAAUAGGAAUGAAGAAAAAUAGAAAUCGUAAUCUUCGGGCAUGGCAUGAAACAGCAUUCUCAGUGCAUAUAUAUAAAAAGAAGGAUCCUAAAUUGGCACCAGCUGUUUCUAAAAGGCAGUCGGAACGACAGAAGAGACAACUGUCUGCUGCUGAUUGUGAUAAAAAGAAAAGGGAGGCAGAGACUCAAUCUGCAGGAAUGUCUGAGAGAAAUUUCAAGAAGCGUACAUGUAAGUUCAGCAGCUUUGAAAGGACUGACCGAUAUAACGAUGAAACUGCAGAUGUUGACCAAAUUGAUGACCAAGGCUACAUGUGCUCACUGGAGAACCCUGGUCUUGAACCUUCACUAACAGUCCUGUGUGCUGCUGAUGGUGGACACGUAUCCUCUCCUGCCCCUCUCCUGACACCAUCUUAUGACACUCACACUGCCUUGUGUGCUGAAAAAGUGAAGCUGCAAGACAUAUAUAUGAGGCCAAGGCUUGAUUACUAUCCUUUUUGUGAACAAUCAGGCAUAGACCUUGAUGUAUAUUCAAAAUUGGAAUCCAAAGAAAAACAUCAUUUGCAGGUUCUGACGAAUGGUGUGAUGUUCGAGAUCCAUAAAUAUGUUAGAAGAAACAGAAAAAAGAAGGCCUAUUCACGCUUUAUAUAUGACAUUUUGGAGUACAACUUUGAUAUGAGUUUCCACAAUCUGAAGUGGUAUUCCUUUACGCAAAGAUUAGUGUUGGAUGUUAAACAACUGGCAAAAACAUCCUUUAUCAAUCGAAUAGUAUGGUAUGUUAAAAAACUGGCGGCAACAUAUCGCCGUGACGUGGCCAUCAACCCAAAUCAUACCACUGAAGUGUUUGCACUACACUCAAAAAUACCAACAGAAAAAAAGAGAAAGGAGACGGUUCCUCAACCUGCAAGAACGUCUGAGAGAAUUUUCAAGAAGAAGACCUGUAAAUUGAGCAACUUUGAAAGGACCAACCCAUGUACAGAUGGAACUGCAGACUUUGGCCAAAUUGAUGACCUAGGCUACAUGUGCUCACUGGAGAACCCUGGCCUUGAACCCUUGCUUACAGAUCAAGCAAACAUGUCUCAUAUAAAAAAGGAGUCACAUUAGUCACUUAAAGAAUGAGCAGAGUUUGAAAUAGUGUCCCACAACCCAAGGUGCUGAUGGAUUUGCUACCACAGAUGGCAGAAGAUUUAAAUGCAGGAAAAUGUAAAGGUUAGACCAUGUAAGAAGAUUGCAGUACCUUUCUUCAGUUGUAAAUGUUUCCCUGAACAUUUUGGCGUUGACAAAGAUUACUGUCUUGAGUUUUUCUAGAAGAAUGUUUAAUCAUAGUUUUGUGUCAAUGACGAGAAGACCUUAGUUGUAGAGAACGUUUUAAAUAAUUUCUGUUUCUCUCAUCGGUCAAUGGCCAGAUGAAAUUGUUUUAAAGCAGUACUUACUUCCAGCCUUUAGGUGGCAGUAUGGUAAUAUCCCUGCUCGUUACAACAGGAACACCAGCAUUGGGCUUCCAUUGAGUUGUAACUGGCAUCUGCUAGGAAUUUUGAAAGCCAGAAACCUUUUGUUUUGAUUUGUAAUAAAAAGUUAACCUUA